rnacentral:rRNA from 1 species
AGAGUUUGAUCCUGGCUCAGGACGAACGCUGGCGGCAUGCCUAAUACAUGCAAGUCGAACGCUUUGAUUUCACCGGGUGCUUGCACCCACCGAAGUCAAGGAGUGGCGGACGGGUGAGUAACACGUGGGUAACCUGCCCAUAAGUGGGGGAUAACAUUCGGAAACGGAUGCUAAUACCGCAUAUUUCUAAUCGCCUCCUGGCGAACUGAAAAAAGGUGGCUUCGGCUACCGCUUAUGGAUGGACCCGCGACGUAUUAGCUAGUUGGUGAGGUAAUGGCUCACCAAGGCGAUGAUACGUAGCCGACCUGAGAGGGUGAUCGGCCACACUGGGACUGAGACACGGCCCAGACUCCUACGGGAGGCAGCAGUAGGGAAUCUUCCGCAAUGGACGAAAGUCUGACGGAGCAAUGCCGCGUGAGUGAAGAAGGUUUUCGGAUCGUAAAACUCUGUUGUUAGAGAAGAACAAGGAUGAGAGUAACUGCUCAUCCCCUGACGGUAUCUAACCAGAAAGCCACGGCUAACUACGUGCCAACAGCCGCGGUAAUACGUAGGUGGCAAGCGUUGUCCGGAUUUAUUGGGCGUAAAGCGAGCGCAGGCGGUUCUUUAAGUCUGAUGUGAAAGCCCCCGGCUCAACCGGGGAGGGUCAUUGGAAACUGGAGAACUUGAGUGCAGAAGAGGAGAGUGGAAUUCCACGUGUAGCGGUGAAAUGCGUAGAUAUGUGGAGGAACACCAGUGGCGAAGGCGACUCUCUGGUCUGUAACUGACGCUGAUGCUCGAAAGCGUGUGGAGCAAACAGGAUUAGAUACCCUGGUAGUCCACGUCGUAAA